rnacentral:rRNA from 1 species
UACAGAGGUCCCGAGCGUUGUUCGGAUUCACUGGGCGUAAAGGGCGCGUAGGUGGCCGGGUAAGUCUGACGUGAAAUCUCCAAGCUCAACUUGGAAACUGCGUCGGAUACUAUCCGGCUCGAGGAUCGGAGGGGAGACUGGAAUACUUGGUGUAGCAGUGAAAUGCGUAGAUAUCAAGUGGAACACCAGUGGCGAAGGCGAUUCUCUGGACGAUUCCUGACACUGAGGCACGAAAGCCAGGGGAGCAAACGGG